rnacentral:rRNA from 1 species
GCCUCCCUCUUUCUUCGUGCCUAAUACAUGCAAGUUGAGCGCUGAAGGUUGGUACUUGUACCAACUGGAUGAGCAGCGAACGGGUGAGUAACGCGUGGGGAAUCUGCCUUUGAGCGGGGGACAACAUUUGGAAACGAAUGCUAAUACCGCAUAAAAACUUUAAACACAAGUUUUAAGUUUGAAAGAUGCAAUUGCAUCACUCAAAGAUGAUCCCGCGUUGUAUUAGCUAGUUGGUGAGGUAAAGGCUCACCAAGGCGAUGAUACAUAGCCGACCUGAGAGGGUGAUCGGCCACAUUGGGACUGAGACACGGCCCAAACUCCUACGGGAGGCAGCAGUAGGGAAUCUUCGGCAAUGGACGAAAGUCUGACCGAGCAACGCCGCGUGAGUGAAGAAGGUUUUCGGAUCGUAAAACUCUGUUGGUAGAGAAGAACGUUGGUGAGAGUGGAAAGCUCAUCAAGUGACGGUAACUACCCAGAAAGGGACGGCUAACUACGUG